GGGUGCGGCGGGUCGUCCGCCGCAGGUCUCCACGGCUGGUCGGGCCGCCCGCCG
rnacentral:ncRNA from 12 species